AAUUCAAGAGAAAUUGUUGGAUUUCAAGGAAUCAAGCAAGUAAAGGUGGUGAGCCAUUUGAUAAGGGUAAAGAUAUUGUGUCCGAGGACCAAAAAUAGGAGUACUUCAAACUCCUGCUAUAGCUCAAGAUAGUCUGUAAACAGCCGAUUUUGUCAAGGGUUGCUUUUAGAUUCGCAUCCCUAGAAAUCGCAGGUCUAUAGCCCUGUUUAUUUUUGUUAUUUUGGGGGCCCACAUGUCAUUGUAGGAUAUUUGUAUACCUGGCUGC